rnacentral:rRNA from 1 species
GUUGUAUGGUUAAGUGACUAAGCGUACACGGUGGAUGCCUUGGCAGUCAGAGGCGAUGAAAGACGUAGUAACUUGCGAUAAGCCCAGAUUAGGUAGUAACAACCAUUUGAGUCUGGGAUUUCUGAAUGGGGAAACCCACGUGCAUAAGCACGUAUCCUUACCUGAAUACAUAGGGUAAGGAGGCGAACCGGGGGAACUGAAACAUCUAAGUACCCCGAGGAAAAGAAAUCAACCGAGAUUCCGAAAGUAGCGGCGAGCGAAAUUGGACUAGCCCUUAAGCUUUACACGCGUUAGACGAACGGUCUGGAAAGUCCGACGAUACAGGGUGAUAGUCCCGUAGUUGACGACGUGUGUUCAGUUAAAUCGGGUAGGGCGGGACACGUGAUAUCCUGUCUGAAUAUGGGGUGACCAUCCUGUAAUGCUGAAUACUACUGACUGACCGAUAG